rnacentral:rRNA from 1 species
GUGAGGAAUCUUCCACAAUGGGCGAAAGCCUGAUGGAGCAACGCCGCGUGCAGGAUGAAGGCCCUCGGGUCGUAAACUGCUUUUAUAAGUGAAGAAUAUGACGGUAACUUAUGAAUAAGCACCGGCUAACUACGUGCCAGCAGCCGCGGUCAUACGUAGGGUGCAAGCAUUAUCCGGAGUGACUGGGCGUAAAGAGUUGCGUAGGUGGUUUGUUAAGCGAGUAGUGAAAUCAGGCGGCUCAACCGUUCUGGCUAUUACUCGAACUGGCAAACUCGAGAGUGGUAGAGGUAACUGGAAUUUCUUGUGUAGGAGUGAAAUCCGUAGAUAUAAGAAGGAACACCAAUGGCGUAGGCAGGUUACUGGACCAUUUCUGACACUGAGGCACGAAAGCGUGGGGAGCGAACGGGAUUAGAAACCCGAGUAGUCC